AAAAAUGCAGGUCCAUGUAGCACUGUGAUGUGCAUUUUAGGGCUGAUGCAUUGCGUGUGGUCAAAAACUUUCCAUGAUGAAAAUAACAUUUACAGGGGGAAAGGUGGAAACAAUAUUGAUGAACAUGUGGCGUACUUGGAAAGUCCACCCUAGUUAUGUAUACACUUGCUGUCAUGCUGUAAGAGGUAAGAGCAUUGGAUGCAACCACUCUGCACGUGAUGUGCUGCUUUGAACCUUGUCUGUACCCUAAUCCAAAGGUGUUAACUGCCCAUCGUUUAUUUCAGGAGAUAAUGGAGAUUUAAGGAGAGGUGUCCACAAAGAACUCAAAGAAAUAUGGCAGUGAGGAUCAGCUGCAGAAAGAGCUUGCUUUCAGUGCAGGUUUUUUUUUUGUAAGCAGAAGUACUUGGAGAAGAUGACUCCCCUUUUCAUCUGUCUCUUCCUUUGAGGUCAAGUCCUGACAUCACUGCCUAUUUCUCAGCUGAAUGAGAAGUCUCCAGUUCUGCCUCUGAUACCCUGACCAGAUUGCUGUUUGGUUCUGGGGUAAGUCCCCACUUGCUUUUCUGGAGAAAGUAUAAAAUUCCUAAAAGCUACGGGAGCCAUGAGUGAAGGGAAUAUCACUCUGUUCUCUCCACCUCUUCCACACCUAUAAAGGAAGCUAUUCCACGUACGCUGAGGAAGAAAACAGCUUUUUCUUGUGGCGUCUCAAAGCACAAAGCUCAGCAGCUCACCUUGCCUCAUCUGACACAUUAAUCAGGAGAACAACACCUGGGCACUACAGACCUGCUCAUCUCUGGAUGUGGAGACACCAAAAAGAAGAAGCUUGAAGGAAUCACAGCUGACUGUGGAGAAAUAUCUGGUCCCCACCUUCUUCAGUUCUGAUCCUGUCUGGAAAAAAAAAAAAAGAUUAGGUCAAGCCAACAGAGAGACAGACACCUCCAACUCCUUUGAACUACUUGAAACACCACAUCAGGAGGCACGAGUCCCAUUCUAAAGUCCAGCUUCAUCACUGCCAUGACUAUAACUAGUGUAGUCAAACUUCCUGACCCUGCCAGCUCCAUACCCAAAUCUUCAUGCCCCUGCAAGCCACAGCACAUAACCCAUGGAAAAUGGGAGAGGAGACACUCCAGGAGAGGGUCCUGGCGUGGCUCACAGGAGGCAAAGGGUUCCUCUGGGACACUGCAAGGUGGGAGCAAGAAGACCAUUUCCUUGCCUGCCCAAGCACGGAAGAAUGGGAUUGUCAUGUUUGGCUCCACUUUGCUGGGAAAUGAAAACAGGGAUAUUUGUUUUCCUGCCAGAGCGUGUGAUGCUGCAUGUGCUGGAGGAGGACACUGGUCCCAAUACACUUGGUCCUCCAGAGGAGAUGCAGUUAGACCUACAGGGCCCAUCGCUGUCCUUGUCAUAAAGUCUAAACUCACGGAUUAUGUUCAAAGCCAGCAAAGUGAGUAGCCGUGUUGUAAGCUCAACGUGUACAACGCAAUGCUCUCCUCCACCCCUCCCACAGCGCUGAUAGUAAUUCCUUUGGCACAUCUGCUAAUGCUCCUUGUCUCUCUCCUUCGCCCAUGGCUUUUGUUUAAAUGUUAAUUCCAUGUGUGCUACCUUUUAUCUGGAGAUGAAGAUGGAUUGCUGUGUCAGGCUGGAUUUAAAUUCAUUUUGCUGUUAAAAAUUUGUAAUUAUAUUGAAAGGUUGUAUGAAGUCCAAGACCUCUCUGGGCUACUGUGGUUAAUUAGCUGCUACAGAUAUUGUGCAUUCAA